CCUACGGGUGGCUGCAGUAGGGAAUUUUGCGCAAUGGGCGAAAGCCUGACGCAGCAACGCCGCGUGAUCGAGACGCCCUUCGGGGUGGAAAGCUCUGUCAGUUGGGACGAAUCUUGACGGUACCCACAGAGGAAGCACCGGCUAACUCCGUGCCAGCAGCCGCGGUAAUACGGGGGGUGCAAGCGUUGUCCGGAAUCAUUGGGCGUAGAGAGUUCGUAGGCGGAACGUAAAGUCAGGUGUUAAAGGCUAAGGCUCAACCUCUGUACGGCAUUUGAUACUUUUGAGCUAGAAUGUGGGAGAGGUAGAGGGAAUUCUUGGUGUAGCGGUAAAAUGCGUAGAGAUCAGGAGGAACA
rnacentral:rRNA from 1 species